GAUGAACGCUGGCGGCGUGCCUAAUACAUGCAAGUCGAGCGAACGGACGAGAAGCUUGCUUCUCUGAUGUUAGCGGCGGACGGGUGAGUAACACGUGGAUAACCUACCUAUAAGACUGGGAUAACUUCGGGAAACAGGAGCUAAUACCGGAUAAUAUUUUGAACCGCAUGGUUCAAAAGUGAAAGACGGUCUUGCUGUCACUUAUAGCUGGAUCCGCGCUGCAUUAGCUAGUUGGUAAGGUAACGGCUUACCAAGGCAACGAUGCAUAGCCGACCUGAGAGGGUGAUCGGCCACACUGGAACUGAGACACGGUCCAGACUCCUACGGGAGGCAGCAGUAGGGAAUCUUCCGCAAUGGGCGAAAGCCUGACGGAGCAACGCCGCGUGAGUGAUGAAGGUCUUCGGAUCGUAAAACUCUGUUAUUAGGGAAGAACAUAUGUGUAAGUAACUGUGCACAUCUUGACGGUACCUAAUCAGAAAGCCACGGCUAACUACGUG
rnacentral:rRNA from 1 species